UGGGGAAUAUUGGACAAUGGGCGAAAGCCUGAUCCAGCCAUGCCGCGUGUGUGAAGAAGGUCUUCGGAUUGUAAAGCACUUUAAGUUGGGAGGAAGGGCAGUAAGCGAAUACCUUGCUGUUUUGACGUUACCGACAGAAUAAGCACCGGCUAACUCUGUGCCAGCAGCCGCGGUAAUACAGAGGGUGCAAGCGUUAAUCGGAAUUACUGGGCGUAAAGCGCGCGUAGGUGGUUCGUUAAGUUGAAUGUGAAAGCCCCGGGCUCAACCUGGAAACUGCAUCCAAGACUGGCGAGCUAGAGUAGGGCAGAGGGUGGUGGAAGUUCCUGUGUAGCCGUGAAAUGCGUAGAUAUAGGAAAGAACACAAGUGGCGAAGGCGACCACCUGGGCUCAUACUGACACUGAGGUGCGAAAGAGUGGGGAGCAAACAGG
rnacentral:rRNA from 1 species